UGCUGCUCCCCUGUGCCGGCUCUGCCUAACAUCUCUUCCUGUCUGUUGCAGGUUCUGGGAGAGAUCUUGCAGGCCUCUUCCUCCAACAACCCGAUCCCAGAGAUGUAUGUGGAGGCCAUCUCCCAUACGCUGAGUUACCAGCCCGUUCUUAUCUAUCAGAGCUGUUGGGGAUUUUCCAUCGAAAACUGGAGAUGGGCAGGGGAGAUACCCCUGUGGGGAUCCUGGCCCUGAUGUCAUAUGUUAUUGGUGCUGAAGGUAGGAGCAGGAGAGCAAGAGCUCAGAGACUUUCCCUUAUAUCAUGUCAGAGCGAGCGCCUGGUGCAGCACAGAGCCGCUAUGCAGCUUCAGGGCCUGUGGGUCUGGCUGCAGGGCCCUGGGUGUGACCUGCUCCCUGUAGCAAUGGACAGUCUUUCCCGUGCUCCCAUGCUGCGCUGGACAGACACACCCCAAAGCUCUGCACACUCGGACACUGAAGUUCCGAGGAUGGCCAGGCUGAAACACCUGUGCAUCAAAUCAGUGAAAUCAGUUCUUACCGAUGGGAGUCCCAGGGAGCUCUGGGAACGGCUGCUGGGCUGUGUUACCCGCACCCCUUACACUGCACCCCUUACCCGCACCCCUUACACUGAUUCCAUGACUUCCCUGUGCCGCUGCCUGAGGGUCCUGGCCACGAAGCGGCAGCAGCACAGACAAGCAGCCCAA
rnacentral:lncRNA from 1 species